rnacentral:hammerhead_ribozyme from 1 species
GUUAACUGACGAAUCCUAAAUAGGACGAAGUGCACAUCCUGGAC